CCACAAGAACGCGUGGAGCAUGUGGCUUAAUUUGACUCAACGCGGGAAAUCUUACCGGGUCCGGACACACUGAGGAUUGACAGAUAUAUGCAUAUAUAUUGCUUUCGGGCAGUAUAUGUGUGAAAGAUGCUAGUUCUUUCAUGAUUAUGUGAUAGGUGGUGCAUGGCCGUUCUUAGUUCGUGGAGUGAUCUGUCUGCUUAAUUGCGUUUCACUUUUAUAGAGAUAUUUAAAACGUAUAUAUUUAUAUUUAUUUAUUUAUUUUAUGCAUAAAUUAUCUCUCAGUUGAAAGCAACGAACGUGACCGUUGUCUUUUGUUGUCUAUAUCCCUUUAUAAAUAGACUUUUUUUUAAUAAACAAAACUAAAGAGACCGCUGUAUUUUCUUUUAAACCAGAGGAAGGUAACGGCAAUAACAGGUCUGUGAUGCCCUUAGAUGUUCCGGGCUGCACACGUGCUACAAUAAUUAUUGCAGUGAGCAUCUCAUAUUUUUUUACACUGUUUUAAAUUCUAACAGCGUUAUACUCUUUCGGGGGUAUGCUGUUCUGUUUUGAAUUUACAGUAAAGCCUACAUCGAGAGUUUUCUUUUACGUGGGUAAUCAAUUAGAAGUAAUGAAUUUCCUAUUUUUGUAUAUUUUAUGCAGUAUUUUAUAUCCACUUGUAUUUUCAUACAAGACUGCGUAUAUAUUAUAUUUUUUGCACAUACAAUUGUCAAUUUAUAGUGGGGACAGACCAUUGUUAAUUGUUGGUCUCGGUCUUAACUAGGAAUGCCUUGUACGGGUCUUUGGUUCAACAAACCACCUGGAAUACGUCCCUGCCCUUUGUACACACCGCCCGUCGCUCUUACCGAUGAACUUCUCUGUGAGUUUCAGGGACCGUCCUCUUUAUAGGAAACUUAAACGAACAGUGUGGUUUAAAGGAAAGAGAAGUCGAACAAGGCA
rnacentral:rRNA from 1 species